GGCGGCGUGGAUUAGGCAUGCAAGUCGAGGGAGAACCGCAAGGGGACACCGGCGAACGGGGUAGGAUCACGUAGGUGACGUACCCCCAGGGCGAGGAUAGCCACGGGAAACUGUGGGUAAUACUCGAUAACCUUCCCGAUCAUGAUCGAAUGGGAAGCAAUGGGUGUGAUUCCACCUGGGGAGCGGCUUACGCAGUAUCAGCUUGUUGGUGAGGUAACGGCUCACCAAGGCUAUGACGCUUAGGGGGUGUGCGAGCAUGGCCCCCACCACUGGCACUGAGACACUGGCCAGACACCUACGGGUGGCUGCAGUCGAGAAUCUUCGGCAAUGGACGAAAGUCUGACCGAGCGACGCCGCGUGCGGGAUGAAGGUCUUCGGAUUGUAAACCGCUGUCAGAGGGGAUGAAGUAUACGAGAGCUAUCUCUUGUAUUUGACAGAGCCUCAGAGGAAGCACGGGCUAAGU
rnacentral:rRNA from 1 species